GGUUAACCAGGCAUUAGGUUUGCCAAGGUGAAAGAGAGUCAGCAAUUCAGUACCCUUGGUAAAAAACGAAAAUUGCAAAAUGGGUCAGGGGCAUCAUUGGUAAGAAAGCAGUGCUCAGCCGGAGAGGGAGUUGUUAAGAGCAUUUUACAAUUGCUAUAAUUUCUUGAGCGAAACAAUGUUUUCUGUUAACUUUGCAGCUGGCUUUAUCUGUUUUGUUUUCAGAGCGUGAAUAAUGCCCGGGGGGCUCUUUGCUUUUUCUGUUUGAGUCGAUUUUCACUCUUUCAGUCCUGGCUGGGUCCUACUCUUUCGUGACAUAAGAAAGGUCGGAGAUGGAAGGUUAUUUCAUGAAGGUACAAGAUGCCACGUGGAGAUCAAGCUUAGAUUUUGUAACUAGCGGCCCAUUAAUUUUCUAAAGUAAAGAGCUUUUGGAAAAAUUCAGAUCAGAAAGCAUGUCUGGGGUCCGAGGCCAAGGUGGGGACCCGCUACUCUAAUUACACGUCUCUUCCCUGACAUCCAUCUAUGGGAAGAGCAGAGUUUUCAAACUAGACUGC
rnacentral:lncRNA from 1 species